rnacentral:snRNA from 1 species
UAGUGUUACAAUUCUUUUACAAUUUGUCUAGCAGGCUUUCUGGUUUUUGCCUAAAAGCCUCU